UCCGUAGGGUGCGAGCGUUAAUCGGAAUUACUGGGCGUAAAGCGUGCGCAGGCGGUUUUGUAAGCCCGGUGUGAAAUCCCCGGGCUCAACCUGGGAAUGGCAUUUGGGACUGCAGGGCUGGAGUGCGGCAGAGGAGACUGGAAUUCCUGGUGUAGCAGUGAAAUGCGUAGAUAUCAGGAGGAACACCGAUGGCGAAGGCAGGUCUCUGGGCUGACACUGACGCUCAUGCACGAAAGCGUGGGGAGCAAACAGG
rnacentral:rRNA from 1 species